rnacentral:rRNA from 1 species
UUGACGGAAUGGACGCCCGGUGCGUCGAUGCCCGGAGCAGGUACCGCGCAGGAGAGGCUGCGGCGAGAUUUUACUGUAUUUUCGGGCCUUUUUUAUAUCUGAGCCAUCUCGGCGCCUCUCGUACGCAUUUCUAAAAUGAAUCAAAACUUUCAACAACGGAUCUCUUGGUUCUGGCAUCGAUGAAGAACGCAUCGAAAUGCGAUAAGUAAUGUGAAUUGCAGAAUUCAGUGAAUCAUCGAAUCUUUGAACGCACAUUGCGCCCGCCAGUAUUCUGGCGGGCAUGCCUGUCCGAGCGUCAUUUCAACCCUCGAACCCCUCCGGGGGGUCGGCGUUGGGGAUCGGCCCUUUACGGGGCCGGCCCCGAAAUACAGUGGCGGUCUCGCCUUGGUCUCUCCUGCGCAGUACUUUGCACACUCCCAUCAGGAGCGCGGCGCGUCCAUUGCCGUAAAACACCCAAUUUUCUGAAAUGUUGACCUCUGAUCAAGUAGGAAUACCCGCU